AUUGAACGCUGGCGGCAGGCCUAACACAUGCAAGUCGAGCGGAGCGGCGGACGGGUGAGUAAUGCCUAGGAAUCUGCCUGGUAGUGGGGGAUAACGUCCGGAAACGGGCGCUAAUACCGCAUACUAUCAGAUGAGCCUAGGUCGGAUUAGCUAGUUGGUGGGGUAAGGGCCUACCAAGGCGAAGAUCCGUAACUGGUCUGAGAGGAUGAUCAGUCAGAGUGGAACGGAGACACCGUCCAGCUUCCUACGGGAGACAGCAUUGGGGAAUAUUGGACAAUGGGCGAAAGCCUGAUUCAGCCAUGCCGCGUGUGUGAAGAAGGUCUUCGGAUUGUAAAGCACUUUAAGUUGGGAAGCGUUACCAACAGAAUAAGCACCGGCUAACUUCGUGCCAGCAGCCGCGGUAAUAC
rnacentral:rRNA from 1 species